UGAUUUAUCAGGGUGACUGCGUACCUUUUGUAUAAUGGGUCAGCGACUUAUAUUCUGUAGCAAGGUUAACCGAAUAGGGGAGCCGUAGGGAAACCGAGUCUUAACUGGGCGAAUAAGUUGCAGGGUAUAGACCCGAAACCCGGUGAUCUAGCCAUGGGCAGGUUGAAGGUUGGGUAACACUAACUGGAGGACCGAACCGACUAAUGUUGAAAAAUUAGCGGAUGACUUGUGGCUGGGGGUGAAAGGCCAAUCAAACCGGGAGAUAGCUGGUUCUCCCCGAAAGCUAUUUAGGUAGCGCCUCGUGAACUCAUCUUCGGGGGUAGAGCACUGUUUCGACUAGGGGGUCAUCCCGACUUACCAACUCGAUGCAAACUACGAAUACCGAAGAAUGUUAUCACGGGAGACACACGGCGGGUGCUAACGUUCGUCGUGAAGAGGGAAACAACCCAGACCGCCAGCUAAGGUCCCAAAGUCAUAGUUAAGUGGGAAACGAAGUGGGAAGGCUCAGACAGCCAGGAUGUUGGCUUAGAAGCAGCCAUCAUUUAAAGAAAGCGUAAUAGCUCACUGGUCGAGUCGGCCUGCGCGGAAGAUGUAACGGGGCUAAACUAUGCACCGAAGCUGCGGCAGCGAUAUGUAAAUAUUGUUGGGUAGGGGAGCGUUCUGUAA
rnacentral:rRNA from 1 species